rnacentral:rRNA from 1 species
GGGUUGUGAGGUUAAGCGACUAAGCGUACACGGUGGAUGCCCUGGCAGUCAGAGGCGAUGAAGGACGUGCUAAUCUGCGAUAAGCGCCGGUAAGGUGAUAUGAACCGUUAUAACCGGCGAUUUCCGAAUGGGGAAACCCAGUGUGACUCGUCACACUAUCAUUAACUGAAUCCAUAGGUUAAUGAGGCGAACCGGGGGAACUGAAACAUCUAAGUACCCCGAGGAAAAGAAAUCAACCGAGAUUCCCCCAGUAGCGGCGAGCGAACGGGGANNNNNNNNNNNNNNNNNNNNNNNNNNNNNNNNNNNNNNNNNNNNNNNNNNNNNNNNNNNNNNNNNNNNNNNNNNNNNNNNNNNNNNNNNNNNNNNNNNNNNNNNNNNNNNNNNNNNNNNNNNNNNNNNNGGGCGUUAAGUUGCAGGGUAUAGACCCGAAACCCGGUGAUCUAGCCAUGGGCAGGUUGAAGGUUGGGUAACACUAACUGGAGGACCGAACCGACUAAUGUUGAAAAAUUAGCGGAUGACCUGUGGCUGGGGGUGAAAGGCCAAUCAAACCGGGAGAUAGCUGGUUCUCCCCGAAAGCUAUUUAGGUAGCGCCUCGUGAAUUCAUCUCCGGGGGUAGAGCACUGUUUCGGCUAGGGGGCCAUCCCGGCUUACCAACCCGAUGCAAACUGCGAAUACCGGAGAAUGUUAUCACGGGAGACACACGGCGGGUGCUAACGUCCGUCGUGAAGAGGGAAACAACCCAGACCGCCAGCUAAGGUCCCAAAGUCAUGGUUAAGUGGGAAACGAUGUGGGAAGGCCCAGACAGCCAGGAUGUUGGCUUAGAAGCAGCCAUCAUUUAAAGAAAGCGUAAUAGCUCACUGGUCGAGUCGGCCUGCGCGGAAGAUGUAACGGGGCUAAACCAUGCACCGAAGCUGCGGCAGCGACGCUGAUGCGUUGUUGGGUAGGGGAGCGUUCUGUAAGCCUGCGAAGGUGGCCUGUGAGGGUUGCUGGAGGUAUCAGAAGUGCGAAUGCUGACAUAAGUAACGAUAAAGCGGGUGAAAAGCCCGCUCGCCGGAAGACCAAGGGUUCCUGUCCAACGUUAAUCGGGGCAGGGUGAGUCGACCCCUAAGGCGAGGCCGAAAGGCGUAGUCGAUGGGAAACGGGUUAAUAUUCCCGUACUUGGUGUUACUGCGAAGGGGGGACGGAGAAGGCUAUGUUGGCCGGGCGACGGUUGUCCCGGUUUAAGCGUGUAGGUGUGUGUUCCAGGUAAAUCCGGUUCACUUUAACACUGAGGCGUGAUGACGAGGCACUACGGUGCUGAAGCAACAAAUGCCCUGCUUCCAGGAAAAGCCUCUAAGCAUCAGGUAACAUCAAAUCGUACCCCAAACCGACACAGGUGGUCAGGUAGAGAAUACCAAGGCGCUUGAGAGAACUCGGGUGAAGGAACUAGGCAAAAUGGUGCCGUAACUUCGGGAGAAGGCACGCUGACACGUAGGUGAAGUGAUUUACUCAUGGAGCUGAAGUCAGUCGAAGAUACCAGCUGGCUGCAACUGUUUAUUAAAAACACAGCACUGUGCAAACACGAAAGUGGACGUAUACGGUGUGACGCCUGCCCGGUGCCGGAAGGUUAAUUGAUGGGGUCAGCGCAAGCGAAGCUCCUGAUCGAAGCCCCGGUAAACGGCGGCCGUAACUAUAACGGUCCUAAGGUAGCGAAAUUCCUUGUCGGGUAAGUUCCGACCUGCACGAAUGGCGUAAUGAUGGCCAGGCUGUCUCCACCCGAGACUCAGUGAAAUUGAACUCGCUGUGAAGAUGCAGUGUACCCGCGGCAAGACGGAAAGACCCCGUGAACCUUUACUAUAGCUUGACACUGAACAUUGAGCCUUGAUGUGUAGGAUAGGUGGGAGGCUUUGAAGUGUGGACGCCAGUCUGCAUGGAGCCGGCCUUGAAAUACCACCCUUUAAUGUUUGAUGUUCUAACGUGGACCCGUGAUCCGGGUUGCGGACAGUGUCUGGUGGGUAGUUUGACUGGGGCGGUCUCCUCCUAAAGAGUAACGGAGGAGCACGAAGGUUGGCUAAUCCUGGUCGGACAUCAGGAGGUUAGUGCAAUGGCAUAAGCCAGCUUGACUGCGAGCGUGACGGCGCGAGCAGGUGCGAAAGCAGGUCAUAGUGAUCCGGUGGUUCUGAAUGGAAGGGCCAUCGCUCAACGGAUAAAAGGUACUCCGGGGAUAACAGGCUGAUACCGCCCAAGAGUUCAUAUCGACGGCGGUGUUUGGCACCUCGAUGUCGGCUCAUCACAUCCUGGGGCUGAAGUAGGUCCCAAGGGUAUGGCUGUUCGCCAUUUAAAGUGGUACGCGAGCUGGGUUUAGAACGUCGUGAGACAGUUCGGUCCCUAUCUGCCGUGGGCGCUGGAGAACUGAGGGGGGCUGCUCCUAGUACGAGAGGACCGGAGUGGACGCAUCACUGGUGUUCGGGUUGUCAUGCCAAUGGCACUGCCCGGUAGCUAAAUGCGGAAGAGAUAAGUGCUGAAAGCAUCUAAGCACGAAACUUGCCCCGAGAUGAGUUCUCCCUGAGACUUCGAGUCUCCUGAAGGAACGUUGAAGACGACGACG